rnacentral:sRNA from 3 species
AAGGUUCGAUUCGAGCGUCAGCGAGAAAGCGUUGCCGCAGGCAACGACCCGAAGGGCGAAGCGCGCAGCGCUGAGUCAUCCUUCCCCCACCACCA